GACAGAGGUGGCGACCGUUGUUCGGAAUCACUGGGCAUAAAGCGCGUGUAGGCGGCAUCGUAAGUCGGGUGUGAAAUCCCUCGGCCCAACCGAGGAAUUGCGCUCGAAACUACCUUGCUUGAGGACAGGAGGGGAGCCUGGAAUUCCUGGUGGAGCGGUGAAAUGCGUUGAUAUCAGGAGGAACACCGGCGGCGAAGGCGAGGCUCUGGCCUGUUUCUGACGCUGAGACGCGAAAGCUAGGGGAGCAAACGGGAUUAGAUACCCUUGUAGU
rnacentral:rRNA from 1 species